UGACCUCGGAUCAGGUAGGGAUACCCGCUGAACUUAAGCAUAUCAAUAAGCGGAGGAAAAGAAACCAACAGGGAUUGCCUCAGUAACGGCGAGUGAAGCGGCAAGAGCUCAAAUUUGAAAGCUGGGCCUUUCAGGUCCCGCAUUGUAAUUUGCAGAGGAUGCUUCGGGAGUGGUCCCCAUCUAAGUGCUCUGGAACGGGCCGUCAUAGAGGGUGAGAAUCCCGUAUGGGAUGGGGUGUCCACGCCCGUGUGAAGCUCCUUCGACGAGUCGAGUUGUUUGGGAAUGCAGCUCUAAAUGGGUGGUAAAUUUCAUCUAAAGCUAAAUAUUGACCGGAGACCGAUAGCGCACAAGUAGAGUGAUCGAAAGAUGAAAAGCACUUUGAAAAGAGAGUUAAAAAGCACGUGAAAUUGUUGAAAGGGAAGCGCUUGCGACCAGACUCGCCUCUAGGGUUCAGCGCGCACUCGUGCGCGUGUACUUCCCUUGGGGCGGGCCAGCGUCGGUUUGGGCGGUCGGUAAAAGGCCCUCGGAAUGUAACGCCUCUCGGGGCGUCUUAUAGCCGGGGGUGCCAUGCGACCAGCCCAGACCGAGGAACGCGCUUCGGCUCGGACGCUGGCAUAAUGGUCGUAAACGACC
rnacentral:rRNA from 2 species